rnacentral:piRNA from 1 species
UAAAGUUGCAAUUAUUAAAGA